rnacentral:rRNA from 1 species
CAGCCGCCACGGGAAUACGGAGGGUGCGAGCGUUAAUCGGAAUUACUGGGCGUAAAGGGUGCGUAGGCGGAUUGUUAAGUCAGGGGUGAAAUCCCGAGGCUCAACCUCGGAACUGCCUUUGAUACUGGCGAUCUUGAGUCCGGGAGAGGUGAGUGGAACUGCGAGUGUAGAGGUGAAAUUCGUAGAUAUUCGCAAGAACACCGGUGGCGAAGGCGGCUCACUGGCCCGGAACUGACGCUGAGGCACGAAAGCGUGGGGAGCAAACAGGAUUAGAUACCCCAGUAGUCCCUGUCUCUUAUAC